UUGUUUUUGCUUCAAUCAUUUUUUAACUCCCCUAGUCCCCUCCCGUUCCUUUUCCUUUCCACUUACAAACAAAUCAAAAUGGUAAGAUGAAUUACGUUUAUAAUUUUGGGGAUAGCAAGAUUUAUCUUUUUUUUUUGAACAUCGAUAGCAAGAUUUAUCUACAAUGGAAUACCGACCGGCCCAGCAUGAGAAGGGUAUCAAUCAUGGAUGCUUAAUCACAGAAAGAGGACAAAGCCGUGACGUGUGAAUAGGUGUUAUAGGGAUGCUGCAUAUAUGACCGGUUGGGCCUAAAAGGGUACUGCUGAACUGAAACUUCAUAUGUCAGUAUUUCCAUCUUAAUAUUGAAGGGUUUGCGGUUAUUGGAAUCUUGAUCUAAUAAUAUCAAUGAGAGCUCUAUUGGGCCUGGGUUGUGGCUAUACAGCUCUGCUUGUACGGCACGCCAUCUAAAGGUGUAAGCGUACAGUCAUACGGACUGGUGUUAAGUGAGUUAAGCACAUUUGUUAAAGUGUAGCGACUUAUACAUGCUGUAGCAUAUAAGCUGUACAUAUUAGUGUUAAUUUUUAUCAUUUUUAUACACUUUUUGUAAAGCACAAACUAAUUGCAUAUUAAUUGUGGUGUUAAUUGAAUGAAGCACCAUUUCAGCACUAA